rnacentral:lncRNA from 1 species
GAGCCAUCUUGCCCAGCCUAGUACAAAGUUUCUAAAAUUACUUUUUCUCUUUUUGUUCAUUGUGAAUAGUUUCUAAUGCUAUGACUUCAUCUUUACUAAUCUUUUCUUUUGCAAUGUCCAAUUAGCGAUUUUCAAUAUAAUCUUCAUUUUAAUCAUUGUAGUAUUCCUCAUAACUUUUUUGGGAGGAUCUUUUCAAUGUCUUUUUUCUUUUUUUAAAUUUCAAGUUAUUUACCUGAUCAUGGAUCUUUUUUUAUAUCUUUGUUGUCUCUACCUACAUUUUGAACAUUUAAAAUAUACUUUAUAGUAAUUUUUAAUGUCCUCAUCUGCUAAUUCUAGUAUCUUUGUUGGUUCGGGGUUGGUGUCCCACCCUCCUCAUUAGUAGAUGUGUUUUUGUGCUCUUUAUAUGCUUUAUAAUUUUAAUUGUAUGCUGGGCAUUCUGAAUUUUACCCAUAAAGUAAAAUUAUUAUAGUAUUUGUAUUUCUAUAAAUAAUCGUGAGUUUUGUUCUGGGACACAGUUAAGUUACUUAUAAACAAUAGUGUCCCUUCAGGACUUGCUUUUAAGGUUUGUUAGGUGGCAUUUGACAAGUAUUUAGUCUUGGGUUAAUUCACCCCAUUAGUGAGGCAAGACUCUUGAAUACUCUAAUAGGUAGAUGCCUCAUGAGUUAUGAAAUGUCCCAUUCUGGCUAGUGGGAACAGACACUGAUUGUGGUCAUAUGUGAGUGCUGAGAAGUAUUCCCUCUCAUUCUUUUGGGACAUCCUUUCUCCAUCUUUAGGUAGUUUCUUCAAACCUGUAUACUGAUCAGCUGUCUCAUGAAUACGGGAGAAAACCUGCAGGUCUCCGAGAGUUCUCUCCCUGUGCAACUUAUCGCUUUUCAGUGCUGUGUACCGGCCAUUCCAGCUGCCUUUGUUUCGCUGGACUCUCAGCUGUGUCUUCUGAACUCAGUGAGUUUGCCAGGCUCUGCCUGCCCUGUCCCCCAACCCCACACAAUGCAGCCUAAACGUUCCCUCAAGGUAGCACGCAAGGUAAUCAUGCGACUCACUUCAUUUGUUUUCUGUUCCUCUGGGAUCACUGUCCUUUGUUCCUGAUAUCCGUGGUCUUGUUUUACGUAUUUUGCCUUUGUAUUGGGUGGUUCAGGCAGGAGGGUAAAUCUAAUCCCUAUUACUCCAUCUUGGCCAGAAGUUGAAGUUAACCUAUGGAUUUUGAUUUGUAAUGCACUCACUCUUCUUCAUUUUUAAUAGUCUGUAUUUUUAGUUUUGAUUUUUCUCUUUUAACUUUAGAUAUUCAGAGGAGUCUUUAUUUCUAAAUGACCUUUUUUCUCCAUUCUUCUGUUGUGAUUUCUAAUUUCAUGGCUUUGUAGACAGAGAAUGUAACCUAUGUAAUAAAAACCCAUAAAGAGACAAACCAGAUUGCUAACAGGUUGAUAACAGGAUUUUUCUAGGUUGCCUGGCAAUGAGUUAGCUAGGCUGAACCGCUGCUCAAGCACACCUCUCCAGAAGAUGCCAAGAGAGUCUAGACCCACAUCCAACCUCCCUGGCUGAGUCUGUCAUGCACUGUGUGACUCCGGCAUGGCCUCACAUUAGUUGCAUGGUAUUUGCUUCAUGAUUUCUUUUCCCAACUUCUAUAAUGGUUUCAUGGAUGUUUGAAAAAGAUUUGUUUUCUCUGUGUCAAAAUUUUAUCUUUACAAAAUGCUCUCUUACCUGAUAAGAUUUGUAAAUGCAAAAGUCAGACUGAGGGGUCAUUUAAAAAAUAAAACAUUUCUAUGCAUUUUAUUUUAAUGUAAUACACAAAAAUAUACAUUCAGUUGUCAGUCUUUUGAUGCAGGGCCAGGACCUUUUUUUAGUCUUUUAAAAAAAAUCUUGAGUACACUGAUUGGAGUUCAGUCUGCUUUCUUGUAUAAAUCACUACCAGACUACAUUGCCUAUGAUUUCUAAUUUGGGUUUCUUUAUGGUGCAAGGCAAAUGUAGAGAAACUGGUGGAGUAUUCAAGUUUUCCAAGAUUCUCUCUCAAAUCAUUUUACAGUUGUCUUAUGCAUACUUAUCUGACAACAAAUUUCAAAACGAUCCAUCUUUAUUGAAUCUUUACAAAGUAUUCAACUAGUUUUCUAGAAAGAACUACUAUUUUUUACCUUCAUAUUUUAUUAGUUUGUAUAAUAUUUAAAAAUAAAUUAUUAAUAAGAUCUGACAUUAGAAGGUCUGGAAUAACUUGACUGGUGAGAGAAAAAGUGGGUGAAUAUACGAAAGUGGCUUACUCCUCUAGCCUUCGCAUGUCAAGGGCAUUGGCAUUUGUUAUAGAAAGAAUACAGAACAUCAGUUAAUCCAAUGAAUCAGGUAUGUGGCAUUAAAAGAGCUUCUAAUAUGAUACAUAAGGCUUGUUAAUUAUAUUUUUCAAAUUCUUGAUAUUUUUUCUCUUCUUAAUCUCUUAAUUCUGAGAGAGAUGAUUUUACUUCCUCAUUUUUCUCUGAGUAUGUCUGUCAGUUUUUGCCUUGUGUAACUCCAAGCUAUGCUAGUUGCAAAAAGAAUGAUAACAUUUCUUCAUCAUGUACUAUAAACUUUAUCAAUGUAAAUACCCUUGGCCCAUUUUCAUUCUUUUAACUUUUAAUUCUAUUUUGUUUUAUAUUACUAUCAUCAUUUCUUUAUUUUAAUUAAUAUUUGUCUAAUAUGUCUUUGUCUAUUGGUUAAUUUUUAGUACUUCUCUGCCAUUUGAAUUCAGGAGAGUCUCUUAUGUUCUGAUGUAUUCCUGCUAUGCUUUCUUGUAUGUGUAUAUUUGUGAUAUUGAUCACCUUUCUUUGUUCUUUUUCUUUCAUCUACUGCAGCAUUUCAUAACUCUGAGUGCAAACUGUAACCACCUUUCAAAAAGAAAAUAGUGCCUAAACUUUACCCCAAAAUCUCAGAGGAAGAGAGUGAUACCAGUAUUUUUUUUAAAGACUAAUAUUCUGUUAGGGUUGAGAACUCUAGUAUCAUACUAUUUUUAUUCCCAUGGUGCUUCCCCUUAAAUUCUCAGCAAUCACAAACUUGUCAUUUUCUAUCAAUGGACAGACUGAAACAGUUGUAUCAGUCAAGGUCAAAAUCAGAGAAGCAGAACAAAGAGUGAUCUAGAAUAAGAGUCUGAUUCUAGGGAUUCAAACAUUAUGCCACUGGGAUUGCUGGUGGAGUAAUCUGCUGGCCUGCAUGUGGUGCUGGGCCUGAAGUCACCGUGGGUCAGCCAGACUAGCAGUUGGGAAGGAAAGGUGAACAAGAACAAAAGCAGGAACCAACCACAAACUUCUAGAAAAAGAUGGAGCUUACAUCUGUCUUUCAUUACUCCACCUUAUGUGACUUGGAUGGCCUGAGGCCUGCAGGAGUAGCUGGCACCUCUAGCUAUAGGGCUGCACAUAUCUUUGGCCCAGAACACAGAGAAGUUUGAGGAGAUGUGUCAGCAGCUGGAGGAGCUGCUGGUUGGGUGCUGCCACAUGCCAACAAGAUUACUCUAGUUUGAUGUCAUAAUUUCUCAUGGAGUUAAAACUGGACUCUUCAAAAUGAUAGAGUUGUCUGAAUUUGGCUGCAAUGCGAACUACUAAUCGAUUCAAGCUUGUUAUCAAGACACCUAGAGAUCACCAGGGGAACAAGAGAAGCCAGGUGCAAGGGGCCAGGAAUAUUAUGCUAGAGGCACUUCCUCCACAUGGAAGGAAAUAUCAAAAGUGAAGAGUAAACAUUCCUCUCUGUUCCCCAUUCCUGCUACUGCCUUGCGUCAGUUUUAUCUGUUUUAAAAAUUGUGCUACCAGAGAACUCAGUGUUGUGUGAUACAUUAUUAUAUGUGCAUUUUAUUGAAAAAGCCCUUUUAGAAAACCUGCGGCUCUCUGUCUGCCAUUGGCCUUAGACAUGAGUCCAGUAAGGACUAGGCUAGGAGACAAAUCAACAUGACAGUUGCUGUGCUGUCAGAAUGAUUCUCUCCUUCCCUCCAACUUAGCUAUCAUGCUGUACAAUGCUCUUUGCUUCUGGCUGAUUUUUCCUUUAGCUGAGUUUUCUCCCAGGGCACUCCUUACUUUUCCAAGAAAUAGACUUUAGGCUGGCUUGCUUCACGAACAAUUUGUUCUAUAUGUGCCGACAUGCACAAAUUAAAUUGAGGAUCUGCUUUAUGUGCUAAUUAGUUUGCAAGAAAUAAAAUUCUCAAGGUUAAGAUGGGUCUAUAGCUGCACUUUUUAGACAACUUGCAAUUGCUUUACCUCCCAUAGCUUCAGGUAUCUUCUCUACGUAGUCGCCUUCUAAGCGCAAGUCUCUAUCCCUGCCCUCUUUCCAGCUGCCUGCUAGAUAUCCCCUUGCAGAUCUCCCUCUGGAAACACAAUUUCAGUCUUUCCAAAACUGAACUCAUCAACUCUUACCUGUUCUUCCUGUUCUUCUCUUUCACUUAAAGGCACAAUCAUCCUAGUUGCUUAGGUCCAAGGUAUUCUAUCGGUCUGGGAUAUUGUUACCCACAGCAAUUGUUGUCAUAGUUCUCUUCUUUCAAGAGCUAACCCAGUUUCAUCCUCCUGUAUCUCUUCAGUCAAAAUGAAUCCCCUUUUCCUUUAUUCCUAUAGCACUCUAUAAUUCUUUAAAGCAUUGGCACCAUCUCCUUUAUAUUGUCUUGUAUCUCCCAUUUGCUUAAAGAAACAAAGCAAAUGAGCACCUAUUACGUAAUGUAUACAGUGUUCUAUACGUUUUUAUUUAAUCAUCAUAUAACCCAUUUUACAGAUGGGAAAAUUAAAGGCGUUUCCUUAUCUGUAAAAGAAACAACUCCAAGUUCAUAAAUACUUAAAUACCUAUGGUGUCCAGUAUAAUAAAUAUCAGUUUAACAGAUGUAUUUUUUUUAUUGUUGUAGUCUAGCAUAGUGUUGGAUACACACUAAGUACUCAGUAAUUCUUUGUUGAACUGAAUUGAGAAGAACUUCAAUUCAAAUUUCAUAAAAACUUUUAGAGUAUCCAUUUUGUACAAGGUGGAUUUUUGAAGAUUACAAGUUUGGCCACUAUUUUUAUCCUGCGUU